AAAUCGAUGAAGAACGCAGCGAAAUGCGAUAAGUAAUGUGAAUUGCAGAAUUCAGUGAAUCUUCAACUCCAUUGAACGCACCUUGCGCUCCUUGGUAUUCCGAGGAGCAUGCCUGUUUGAGUGUCAUGA
rnacentral:rRNA from 1 species